CUUGGCAGCGGGGAGCCUGUUAUGUGGAAAGAGGUGUUUGGGAAAGAGCGCCCCAGAAGCUGUGUGCAAGGAGAGGCUGGAUCUGGGCAGAAUGGGACACACCUGUAGCCCAGCGGCCAGUGAGGGAGCAACAUCAUAGAUGGUCCGGGCCUGCCCAGGUGCACUGGAGAGAGAGAAGAAGCUUCUAAUUGGGUCAGGGAGAGGGGGAACGGGAAAAGAAGAGAGAAAUCCAAGGUUUACAGUCCAGAAGUAGGAAGAAAUAUCAUGCUUUUGACA